AGGCAGGCGGCCUUCCCGACGCGGGCGGCCUUACUGAGGCGGGCGGCCCGUCCUCUCGCCUGCGUCGGCCCGGGCGGAGGUGCCGGGCGCCCUCGCGGAAGCCCCUCCACACGCACGGAGCCCCCUUCCCCGACAGGCCUGUUCCCCGACCCUGUGAGGCUCCGCCGUGGAAAACAGAGGCCUAUUAAUUCUUCCUGGGAGCUUGGGAACCCUGACGUCCUUCACCGGAGGCUGGCCGGCCGGCCUUGCGGGGAGGCUGGAGUCGUGUGGAGAAAGACAAACGCCUCCCCAUCUUUGGAGCCUCUCACAGCAACGGGAGCCAACCGCGUACCAGUGAUUCCGAACUCACCGCGUGGGUCCAGCUGAAAAUCUAGGAACAAUCCGAUGCCCUCUGGUCCGCCUCGGCCUUCGGGAAGGUGGGGGAACCGCUACCCGAACCGCCCUGGAAGGCAACCACAGUAUGUUAUUUAUGGAAAAAGCCAGGUUGAUGAACAAUAUAUAUAGUAUAAAUUCAUUUCCAUUCGUUAAAGCUAUAUGUAUAUCUGGUACUAUCUGAAUAGGAAAAGGUCUAGAAGGAAGAUCUCUUAAUACAACAAUUUCUUUUACAUUAUCUCUGAGGGCUAGGAUUCUGAAGGAUUGGUAUUUUCUAUUUUUUCUCCAUUCAUUAUUGAAAUUUUAUGGUGUUAUUUUAAAAUAUAUACUCUUUAACUUCUGACAGUCCUGGGCCCUGGAGUGUAGCUCCCUAUGUCCUUUUGUGGCGGUAACUGGAGGUCUGAAGGGAGCUGUCAUUGCUUCAGUAAGCAGUCCCACAUCCUUGCAGCCAGAAGCCCCAGGCCUGGCCUAUUUGCAGGUCUUACAGGUCUCGUCCCAGAUGGGCAGGGCCUCAGGGUCAGAGCCAUGUGGGCAGUUGUCCCUACCCAGGUGUGUGGUCCCAGGUAGAAGGUGAUGGUGCAGGAUGCCAGGAGGCUUAGUGGUGACCUGCUGUCUGGUUCUGUUGGGGGAAGUCAUGGUUUGGAUGGCAUUGGCUGAAUAAGGAUCACCAAAAGAGAUCAGAUUCUAAUUCCUUGGAAUCUAUAAAUGUUACUGUAUAUGGAAAACAGGUCUUAGCAGAUAUAAGACUAAGUCAAGAAUCUUGAGAUAGGAAGAUGCUUUUGGAUUAUCCAGGUGGGCCCUCUGUGCAAUCACAAGUGCCCUCAUAAGAGAGAGGAAGAGGUGUCAAGAGACUUGACACAGAAAAGAAGGCAGUGUGACCAGAGAAGCAGAGAGUAGAGUGACAAGGCCACAAGCCAAGGAAUGCCAGCAGCCAGCGGCAGCCACAAAGGAACGGAUCGUCCCCUGAAGCUUCUGGAGACAGCACAGCCCUCCUGACGACACCUUGAUUUGAGCCCAGUCAUACUGAUUUUGGACUUCUGGCCUCCAGUACUGUGAAAGAAUACAUUUCUGUUAAGCCAGCAGUUUCACAAUAAUUUGUUACAUCAGCCGUAGUAAACUAAUAUGGUUUUAGAAAGCAAAGCAUGCGAGCUGUGUAAAAUGCUCUUUCCUGAUUUGCCUUCCCCAGGACACACUGCUCAGGCCAAGAAGAAAGAGAGGCUGCUUCUCAGGCACCCCAGAGAGGGCUUCCAAGACAUCUAAUGAGCUCCUGCACUUGUGAGCAGGGUGGCAGGGGGCCGGGGAGCCCACCCCUGGCUCUGUACCGCCCUCAGCUCCCAUGAGAGAGCAGAGGGGUUGCCUGGCAACCAACCCCAGAGGCAUGGCAGGCUCCCCACUGUGCCCUGGUUUCUCCUCAGGGUGGGCACACGCGGGCUGUUAGAGUACAGGCACUAUUAAAAAAAUAACGCCCGGCCAACCCUCUGCUCGAAAUAACUUCCAUGUUCUAAAAAUGGAAUUGUGCCGGUCAUCACAUUUCUCACUCUUAGAGUAGUAACAUUUCUCACCUCCUCGUGCUCUGUAGGUGUGUGACUGGCCAGAAAGGGAACUACCAUUAAUGGCAGUUUCCACCUGACGUAAUCCCCUUGGUGAGCCGAGCUUGCACGGAAGGCGGAAGGUGACAGUCCCUUGCAUAACAGGCCGCCUCCUCGCCUCCUACGGAACCUCCCCUAGGGCUUGGGCUUUUGCGUGCUCUGAUAUCCAUAGUGUCUCUUGGCUCAGAAAAUAAUAAGAACAAUAAUAGUACAGCUGACCCUCGAACAACAAAUUUGAACUGCAUGGGUCCACCUACAUGCGGAUUUUUGGGAAAAAAUGCAGCACAGAAUCAUAAACGUAUUUUUUCCCUUGUGAUUUUUCCUAAGAACGUUUUCUUUUUGCUAGCUUACUUUGUUUUAUUCUGAGGAUGCGGUAUAGAAUACACAAAGCAUACAAAAUGUGUUAGUCGACUGUGUUAUCAGUAAGGCUUCUGGUCAAUAGGAAGCUGUUUGUAGUUAAGUUUUUGGGGGAGUCAGAAGUUGUACAUGGAUUUUUUACUGCACUGGAGGUCAGCACCCCUGGCCCCACAUUGUUCAAGUGUCAACUGUAAUAUUAAACCACUUAUGUAGUUCUCACGAUGUGUCAGGCACUGUCCUGAACACCCUACUUGAAUUAACUCAUAUACUUCCAAGGACUUAUCCUAUGGGGCAGGUAAACCUACCCUUGGCUCCAGCUCUCCUAGCCUGGGAAUCCCGGGGCACUCUUGGUCCUGAUGCCAGGCCCAGGGGCCAGCGUCCUCCUCCAGACUUGCUUUUCCAAGAGGCCCCACCUCUGCCAGCUGGCUCGUCCGAGACAGAAAUUUUGUGCAAAUGUACACCUUUACCAGAAGAAUUUGAGAGGAUCUACUCACUACACUCUUAGCAGCUGUGAUGAUCUUGAGAUGGGGCGAUUACCCUGGAUUACCCAGAUGGGUCCGAUAUAAUCACAAGUGUCCUUAGAAGUGAAAGAAGGAGGCAGAAGAGAACCAGAAAGACAGCUGAGUGAGAAUGACUCAGCCCUAGGUUGCUGAUUUUGAAGAAGGAAGAGGCCAUGAGCCAAGGAAUGUGGGAGAGGUCUGGAAGCUGGAAGAGGCAAGGAAAGUAUUCUCCCCUAGACCCUCCAGAAGGAACACGACCCUGGUGACACCAUGAUCUUAGCCAAGAAGAUAUGUUGGACUUCUGACUAUAGAAAUAUAAGUGAAUACAUUGGGUUAUUCUUAGUCACUAAGUUUUUUAGUGAUUUGUUAGCCCAGCAAUAAAACUGUAUUGGGUAUCUUCAUUUCAUUUCAUUCCGGUGGGAUUUAAUGCCAUUUUAAUUUGCAUUUGUUUGAUUUUCUGGGCAGAGCACAUCUAUUGUUCUGUAUACCCAGAAAAGACUCUUCUGGGAAAUGCAUCUUCUCCUCCCUUAUAAACAGGUAGUCCAAAAUCAAGUCGGAUCCCCAACCAGUUUAAGCCAUUCAGAGCCUUUCUUUGUAAUUAAA